UCUGCCUGGUAGUGGGGGAUAACGUCCGGAAACCGGCGCUAAUACCGCAUACGUCCUGAGGGAGAAAGUGGGGGAUCUUCGGACCUCACGCUAUCAGAUGAGCCUAGGUCGGAUUAGCUAGUUGGUGGGGUAAAGGCCUACCAAGGCGACGAUCCGUAACUGGUCUGAGAGGAUGAUCAGUCACACUGGAACUGAGACACGGUCCAGACUCCUACGGGAGGCAGCAGUGGGGAAUAUUGGACAAUGGGCGAAAGCCUGAUCCAGCCAUGCCGCGUGUGUGAAGAAGGUCUUCGGAUUGUAAAGCACUUUAAGUUGGGAGGAAGGGCAGUAAGUUAAUACCUUGCUGUUUUGACGUUACCAACAGAAUAAGCACCGGCUAACUUCGUGCCAGCAGCCGCGGUAAUACGAAGGGUGCAAGCGUUAAUCGGAAUUACUGGGCGUAAAGCGCGCGUAGGUGGUUCAGCAAGUUGGAUGUGAAAUCCCCGGGCUCAACCUGGGAACUGCAUCCAAAACUACUGAGCUAGAGUACGGUAGAGGGUGGUGGAAUUUCCUGUGUAGCGGUGAAAUGCGUAGAUAUAGGAAGGAACACCAGUGG
rnacentral:rRNA from 1 species